rnacentral:lncRNA from 1 species
AUUUGAAAGAGCAUUUCUGGUUACUGUUUUGUCAACAUAAAUCUUAUGAGGAUAAUUUGGUGAAGUGACAGAAAAAGCGGGGAAUGGGUUUGAACUUGAACGGCCAGAGUCAAGAUUAGUAGAUGGGUGCUCUAUGAACAAGGACAGAAUUUUGCAGUGCCAAAUUUUCUUUAAUCUUUCCUGUCUGUCUUAUAGUGAUAGUAGUU